rnacentral:rRNA from 1 species
CGGCGAGUGAAGCGGCAACAGCUCAAAUUUGAAAUCUGGCUCUUUCAGGGUCCGAGUUGUAAUUUGCAGAGGGUGCUUUGGUGUUGGCGGCGGUCUAAGUUCCUUGGAACAGGACAUCGCAGAGGGUGAGAAUCCCGUAUGUGGUCGCCUGCCUUCGCCGUGUAAAGCCCCUUCGACGAGUCGAGUUGUUUGGGAAUGCAGCUCUAAAUGGGAGGUAAAUUUCUUCUAAAGCUAAAUACCGGCCAGAGACCGAUAGCGCACAAGUAGAGUGAUCGAAAGAUGAAAAGCACUUUGGAAAGAGAGUCAAACAGCACGUGAAAUUGUUAAAAGGGAAGCGCUUGCAGCCAGACUUGCCUGUAGUUGUUCGCCUGGGCUUCUGCCCGGGUUACUCUUCUGCAGGCAGGCCAGCAUCAGUUUGGGCGGUCGGAUAAAGGUCCCUUUCACGUAUCUCCCUUCGGGGUUAACAUAUAGGGGGGGCGUAAUGCGACCAGCCCGGACUGAGGUCCGCGCAUCUGCUAGGAUGCUGGCGUAAUGGCUGUAAGCGGCCCGUCUUGAAACACGGACCAAGGAGUCUAACAUCUAUGCGAGUGUUUGGGUGUCAAGCCCGAGCGCGUAAUGAAAGUGAACGGAGGUGGGAACCCCUCGGGGCGCACCAUCGACCGAUCCUGAUGUCUUCGGAUGGAUUUGAGUAAGAGCAUAGCUGUUGGGACCCGAAAGAUGGUGAACUAUGCUUGAAUAGGGUGAAGCCAGAGGAAACUCUGGUGGAGGCUCGCAGCGGUUCUGACGUGCAAAUCGAUCGUCAAAUUUGGGCAUAGGGGCGAAAGACUA